GAGGCUAUUACCCGAUAGGCCAAAGAUUCUGGAACGAGUUUUGGCCCAAAAGGGCUUGCGGAAUGCAGCAGGCAACGCCUUGGAAUCGGACUGCGGCUGAUUAGCUAGACGGUGAGGUAAUGGCUCACCGUGGCGAUUAUCAGUAGGGGCUAUGGGAGUAGGAGCCCCGAGACGGGCACUGAGACAAGGGCCCGAGCCCUACGGGGUGCAGCAGGCGCGAAACUUCCGCAAUGCGCGAAAGCGUGACGGGGGUAAUCCGAGUGCUUUCCGAAAGGAAAGCUUUUAGUGAGACUGAUACUCUCGUUGAAUAAGUGGUGGGUAAAUCCUGUGCCAGCCGCCGCGGUAAUACAGGUAGCACUAGUAGUGUCCACGAAUAUUGAGUUUAAAGCGCUCGUAGCCGGCUAAGCAAGUUUCCCGUCAAAUCUUCCAGCUUAACUGAAAGGCGCGCGGGAAAUACUACUUGGCUUGAGAGUGGAGGAAGCCAAGAGUACGCUAGGGGGAGCGGUAAAAUGCUGUAAUCCUUAGCGGACUACCAGUGGCGAAAGCGCUUGGCUAAAACACGUUUGACGGUGAGGAGCGAAGGCUAGGGGAGCAAAUCGGAUUAGAUACCCGGGUAGUCCAAGCUGUAAACGAUGCGGGCUAGGUGUUGGUGUGGCUACGUGCCACUUCAGUGCCGCAGGGAAGCCGUUAAGCCCGCCGCCUGGGGAGUACGGCCGCAAGGCUGAAACUUAAAGGAAUUGGCGGGGGAGCACCACAAGGGGUGAAGCUUGCGGUUUAUU
rnacentral:rRNA from 1 species